AAUAGAUACCCAGGUAGUCCACGCCGUAAACAAUGAGUGCUAAGUGUUAGGGGGUUUCCGCCCCUUAGUGCUGCAGCUAACGCAUUAAGCACUCCGCCUGGGGAGUACGGUCGCAAGACUGAAACUCAAAGGAAUUGACGGGGGCCCGCACAAGCGGUGGAGCAUGUGGUUUAAUUCGAAGCAACGCGAAGAACCUUACCAGGUCUUGACAUCCCGCUGACCGCUAUGGAGACAUAGCUUUCCCUUCGGGGACAGCGGUGACAGGUGGUGCAUGGUUGUCGUCAGCUCGUGUCGUGAGAUGUUGGGUUAAGUCCCGCAACGAGCGCAACCCUUGUCCUUAGUUGCCAUCAUUCAGUUGGGCACUCUAAGGAGACUGCCGGCUAAAAGUCGGAGGAAGGUGGGGAUGACGUCAAAUCAUCAUGCCCCUUAUGACCUGGGCUACACACGUGCUACAAUGGACGGUACAAACGGUUGCGAAGUCGCGAGAUGGAGCUAAUCCGAGAAAACCGUUCUCAGUUCGGAUUGCAGGCUG
rnacentral:rRNA from 1 species